GGGUGCGAUUAAACCAGCACUAAUGCAUCGGAUCCCAUCAGAACUCCGCAGCUAAGCAUGCUUGGGCAAGAGUAGACUAGGAUGGGUGACCUCCUUGGAAGUCCUCGUGUGGCACCCG
rnacentral:rRNA from 1 species